rnacentral:rRNA from 1 species
CCUACGGGAGGCAGCAGUGGGGAAUAUUGCGCAAUGGGCGAAAGCCUGACGCAGCCACGCCGCGUGAGGGAUGAAGGUCUUCGGAUCGUAAACCUCUUUCAGCAGGGAAGAACGGUCACUGUGCUAAUCAUCAGUUAAUUGACGUUACCUGCAAAAGAAGCACCGGCUAACUCCGUGCCAGCAGCCGCGGUAAUACGGAGGGUGCGAGCGUUAAUCGAAAUUACUGGGCGGAAAGGGCUCGUAGGCGGUCUGUCAAGUCAAGGGUGAAAGCCCCGGGCUCAACGUGGGAACUGCAUUUGAAACUGGGAGACUGGAGUGCGUGAGGGGAGGGUGGAAGUCCAGGUGUAGGGGUGAAAUGCGUAGAUAUCUGGAGGAACAGCGGUGGCGAAGGCGACUCUCUGGGAAAGAACUGACGCUGAGGAGCGAAAGCGUGGGUAGCAAACAGGAUUAGAUACCCGGGUAGUC